rnacentral:rRNA from 1 species
UUGCUUCUCUUGAGAGCGGCGGACGGGUGAGUAAUGCCUAGGAAUCUGCCUGGUAGUGGGGGAUAACGUCCGGAAACGGACGCUAAUACCGCAUACGUCCUACGGGAGAAAGCAGGGGACCUUCGGGCCUUGCGCUAUCAGAUGAGCCUAGGUCGGAUUAGCUAGUUGGUGGGGUAAUGGCUCACCAAGGCGACGAUCCGUAACUGGUCUGAGAGGAUGAUCAGUCACACUGGAACUGAGACACGGUCCAGACUCCUACGGGAGGCAGCAGUGGGGAAUAUUGGACAAUGGGCGAAAGCCUGAUCCAGCCAUGCCGCGUGUGUGAAGAAGGUCUUCGGAUUGUAAAGCACUUUAAGUUGGGAGGAAGGGCAGUAAAUUAAUACUUUGCUGUUUUGACGUUACCGACAGAAUAAGCACCGGCUAACUCUGUGCCAGCAGCCGCGGUAAUACAGAGGGUGCAAGCGUUAAUCGGAAUUACUGGGCGUAAAGCGCGCGUAGGUGGUUCGUUAAGUUGGAUGUGAAAUCCCCGGGCUCAACCUGGGAACUGCAUUCAAAACUGACGAGCUAGAGUAUGGUAGAGGGUGGUGGAAUUUCCUGUGU